rnacentral:rRNA from 1 species
CGGAGGGUGCGAGCGUUAUCCGGAUUCACUGGGUUUAAAGGGUGCGUAGGUGGGCAAGUAAGUCAGUGGUGAAAUCUCCGGGCUUAACCCGGAACUGCCAUUGAUACUAUUUGUCUUGAAUACUGUGGAGGUCAGCGGAAUAUGUCAUGUAGCGGUGAAAUGCUUAGAUAUGACAUAGAACACCAAUUGCGAAGGCAGCUGGCUACACAAAUAUUGACACUGAGGCACGAAAGCGUGGGGAUCAAACAGGAUUAGAUACCCUGGUAGUCCACGCCCUAAACUAUGGAUACUCGACAUUUGCGAUAAACUGCAAGUGUCUGAGCGAAAGCAUUAAGUAUCCCACCUGGGAAGUACGAUCGCAAGAUUG